GUUUGACAGAAAACCGAUAAAUCCAAAAAGUCUCUAUGAACGCCUCCCUCUGACCAAACACGGAGUCUCCAAAGUAGGGGUCGCCAGAAGGGAUGAAGAGCAGGGAUUUACGUGUAUGUUAAUCUUUUCUGUUCACAUUAAACUCGAAAAUAAGCCCCGCCCACACAGCCCAGCGACGACCAGUACCAUUUAACCUCUCCCAGCAUCCACCAAUCUCAUUCAGCCUGAGAUGGAGAGGAGGCGUGGCUUGCUUGUGGACUGGCCAAUAGUAUACACAGGGUCGCCACUUCCUCGUAAACAGAUAACUAAAUACCAGAUAGCGGAAGACGCAAGCCCCUUAGUACAAUCAAGAGGCCUUAAGAUGGGUCGAGAGGGACACUCUUAAAGAAAAAUAGGUCACAGUGAGAGAUUUUAAGAACCCUCCUUCAGGCUACUCAAAACUCACUAGAGGGAAUCAAAGAGGAAGCGGAAGGGGAGCGUAUCAGGACAUCUCUCCUCCCGAAAUUGACCUCUCUUUUGGCCACUCCUCUUAACUCUUUAUUGAAGCAGUGAUUUGUGGGCUUUUUUUCCAUUAGUCUUCUUUUUUUUUUUGCCCUUGAGCUGUUUCUUUUAAUGUAAAAAAAAAGUGAAAAAAUGCAGUUAUUGAUAGUGACUUAAAAAACUACCCACGGAAUGGCCCACAACUCCUAUUGAAAGCCUUAUCAAAUGUGUGUGCUUGGGCGCCGAAAUGUUUAAAAGAAUAUUGGAAGAGGAUAGUUUAAGUUUAAUAUAGUUUAAGAAUAUAAGAAUAACUCAAGAGCAGAGAGUACAGACCAGCAUUGCAAAAUUGUCGUACUCUGAGCAUUGCAUUCAUCAUUUUUAGGCUCCAUAACUGUCGCAAACACACAACUAACGAUAGGAAAUUAAAGUUACCGUAAAACUGUUAAAUAUUGAUGGGUUUCGGUCUUUUUUGCUAUAGUUAUCGAUCAGAAACGACGAACAUGCAAUGCGCUGAGUACGAUAACUUGACAACAGACCUUAUUUAUAGACUACUGCGUCGCAAGUGCGGAGGAGAAAAAGUCAUAAUUUCCCGGUACGAAGAAUGAAUAAAGUUUGUGGUUAAAGGGGAAAAGUUUUGACCUCAAUUUGACUUACGAAAGAAGAAUGUGAGGUAGUGAAAUGUGGAAGAUCGGUUUAGGGUACAGAACACACACACACACACACACACACACACACACACACACACACACACACACACACACACACACACACCGGGAACGUAAAACUCCCAAGCCCUGAGCCAAUUACUACUACAAGCUAAUUUACUCAACAUUAGGAAGGCUGUGUUUAGUCUCGUUCUGGUGUAAUUUAUCUUAAUGACCCGAGUUUAACACAAGCACAAACACGGGGCUAAUGAUACAGGUGCCACACCUCCACCUGCCUCCACCACCAUCACCAUCUCCCCCUCCACCACAACCACCAUCACCACCACCAGAACGCAAAAAAAGGAGAGAGAGAGAAAAAAGAAAACUCAACAAGGAAAUUUAUACUGCAUGAUGUUUUUGUUACUUAUGCUGUUCACUAUCAUCAAAACCACCAUCACCAUCACCACCACCACCACCACCACCACCAAAACUAGAUAUACAGGAAAAAAUCAGAAAAAAAAAUCUAUACAGCAUGGUACUUUCGUUUCUUCUACUGUCCACUACCCUCAUCCUCCCCCACCAUCACCAUCACAUCAAUCACCACAACCGUCAACACCAUACCCAUCACUAUCACCACCACCACCACCACCACGAAGAAAAACAACCCUUCCGGCAAAACUGAAAAAAAAUAAAACUUCUGCAUGGUGUGUGUGUGUGUGUGUGUGUGUGUGUGUGUGUGUGUGUGUGUGUGUGUGUGUGUGUGUGUGUGUGUGUGUGUGUGUGUGUGUGUGUGUGUGUGUGUGUGUGUGUGUGUUACUUUUGCCACCAUCAUGACAAGUUAAGUUCAACAUGGAGGUGAACGACUGCUGUGAAACUGGAGAUGAGUGGAUGAGUGUGUAUGUAGGUGGUGGGAGGAAGGGACGUCAGUGGCUGGUGGGCGGAGGGGGGUUGAAGGGCAUGGGGAAGGGCUGGGGAGGGCGGGAUAAUACUGAAUGCUUAGACGGGACAAGAUGGGAUGGUACAGGAUGGAGACGGAUGAGAAGGGACAAGGGAUGGGUGUAGGUUGAGGAUCGGGGAUUGAUGUGAAGGGUAGUGAUGGGAGGAUUGGUUGAGAAGGGACAAGGGAUGGGUGUAGGUUGAGGAUCGGGGAUUGAUGUGAAGGGUAGUGAUGGGAGGAUUGGUUGAGAAGGGACAAGGGAUGGGUGUAGGUUGAGGAUCGGGGAUUGAUGUGAAGGGUAGUGAUGGGAGGAUUGGUUGAGAAGGGACAAGGGAUGGGUGUAGGUUGAGGAUCGGGGAUUGAUGUGAAGGGUAGUGAUGGGAGGAUUGGUUGAGAAGGGACAAGGGAUGGGUGUAGGUUGAGGAUCGGGGAUUGAAGUGCAGGGCCGUGAUGGGAGGAUUGGAUGAGAAGGGACAAGGGAGAGGUGGGGUGCUAUGGAUGAGGCGAUGCUGGAGGAGGUACUAUGAACGGGAUGAUACUGGAGGAAUUACAGAUGAGAUGAGAUGCGAUGAGAUGAAGUCCCACGCAUAUUCAUUGACACUAAAAACUUCAUACAAACAAACACACACACACAAACAA